CCUACGGGGGGCUGCAGUGGGGAAUUUUGGACAAUGGGCGCAAGCCUGAUCCAGCAAUGCCGCGUGCAGGAAGAAGGCCUUCGGGUUGUAAACUGCUUUUGUCAGGGAAGAAAUCUUCUGGGCUAAUACCCCGGGAGGAUGACGGUACCUGAAGAAUAAGCACCGGCUAACUACGUGCCAGCAGCCGCGGUAAUACGUAGGGUGCGAGCGUUAAUCGGAAUUACUGGGCGUAAAGCGUGCGCAGGCGGCUUUGCAAGACAGAUGUGAAAUCCCCGGGCUCAACCUGGGAACUGCAUUUGUGACUGCAAGGCUAGAGUACGGCAGAGGGGGAUGGAAUUCCGCGUGUAGCAGUGAAAUGCGUAGAUAUGCGGAGGAACACCAAUGGCGAAGGCAAUCCCCUGGGCCUGUACUGACGCUCAUGCACGAAAGCGUGGGGAGCAAACAGGAUUAGAUACCCCGGUAGUC
rnacentral:rRNA from 1 species